AAGUCGUAACAAGGUUUCCGUAGGUGAACCUGCGGUUGGAUCAUUACUGAAUAUAUGAAUUUGGAGGGUUUUUCGUUAAAUCGAAAAAACCUAACAAAAAAAAAAUUCAUAACACUCCACUUGUGAACUGUUUACCGUACCUUGUUUGGCAGCCCACCUAAUUUUUUGUCGACUGUUAUGGUAGGCAAAUGAAAAAGGGUUAACUAGGUAAGGGAGAGAGGUGGGGGGUCAAACCCCUCCCCCUCCCUCCCCCACGCCUUUGUUGAUCUGGGGCUGUCAGACGCUAUAUAAACAAACUCGUUUUUCUUAAUAUUAAUGCAGUCUUUUUCUAAAUUAUUUUAUAAUUGAAAAAAAAAAACAACUUUUGACAACGGAUCUCUUGGCUCUC
rnacentral:misc_RNA from 1 species